UACCCGCAGCACAAGUGGUGGUCAUUAUUAUUGGGCCUAAAGCGUCCGUAGCUGGCUUGUUAGAUGCCUGGGUAAAUCGAUGCGCUCAACGUAUCGAACUCCGGGUAGACCGGCAAGCUUGGGACCGGGAGAGGCGUGAGCUACUCGGGGGGUAGGGGUAAAAUCCUGUAAUCCUCCGGGGAGGACCAGUGGCGAAGGUGUCACGCUAGAACGGCUCCGACAGUGAGGGACGAAGCCCUGGGGCGCAAACCGG
rnacentral:rRNA from 1 species